AGGAGAUUCAUCAAGGAUUUUUC
rnacentral:snRNA from 1 species